CUGACCUCAAAUCAGGUAGGACUACCCGCUGAACUUAAGCAUAUCAAUAAGCGGAGGAAAAGAAACUAACAAGGAUUCCCUUAGUAGCGGCGAGCGAAGCGGGAAGAGCUCAAAUUUGAAAGCUGGCGUCCUUCGGGCGUCCGCAUUGUAAUCUAUAGAGGCGUUUUCUGUG
rnacentral:rRNA from 1 species